CAGCUGCCGCGUGCCUUCUGUCUGCUGUGGGCCCAGCAGCUGCACAGACCCCUCUUGUUGGGAGACAAGACAGGGCUCUUUCUCUCCCGUGACCUCAGCCUCAUCUCCAAUCGUGGGGAAGAGAGAAACUGAAAUUCUUCCUGUGACUGAACACAUGAGAAUGCAACAGUUACUUGGGGUAACAGGUUUCCUGUGGGUCCUGUGUGAAGAGUAUGCAUUCAUUCCAGUGUCGGGGAGGGGAGAAGAAUGAGGAGGAGGCAGUCCCAUGUGGAUGUCAGUGUGAUGAUUAGGAUGCCUGAUGCUUCCGAAACAAGAAUACACUUUACGAAAAUGCCCAUUGAAAAUACUUUUUCCUUUCUACUCUUGUGCUAAGAGUGCCUGUUUGGACCCCAUGGCUUCGUAAUGGUCAGUGUGUUUACCGUGGCCAAAAAGAGCCUGUGUGUAAGAGAAAGAAAUCCAUGUGGCUGAGUGGCAGGAGAACCAGAAGAGGAGUUAGGGAACUGGAUUCGAAUCCUAGCUCAGCUUCUAGCAAUGGCUUUUACCCUUGUCCCACGGCCCCCCUGCCCAACUCAAGAAGGUGAUGAAAUAGGCUGCAGAAGUUCCCAGCCAGGGUAUUGUGAAGAUGAAAGCAAAGAUAUGGCAAGAGCUCAGAAGAGUACCUGGCCCAUAAGAAAAUGCCAGUGUUGGAGAAAAUGGGAGAGGAAGCUGGAAAAGCCUGGGGGAGUUAUCAUCAGUGAUACAUGUCUGACCCCAGGCCUUCUCUAGAAGAAUGGCAAAAGGAAGUUCUUUAAACAGAAAGGAAAUAAUAAAAUAUGGACCUUCGAAUGUUAGGAAGAAAGAGAAAAUAUGAGAAAUGUUUAUUUAUAAAAUGUGUGCAAUGAGCAAAAAUAUGGUUAAAGACAAUGGAUUGCUUCUUU
rnacentral:lncRNA from 1 species